rnacentral:rRNA from 1 species
UACGGGGGGAGCAAGCGUUGUUCGGAAUCACUGGGCGUAAAGGGCGUCUAGGCGGUUUGGUAAGUGGGAUGUGAAAUCCCCGGGCUCACCCCGGGACCUGCAUCCCAAACUGCUGAGCUUGAGUACAGGAGAGGGUGGGGGAAUUCCAGGUGUAGCGGUGAAAUGCGUAGAUAUCUGGAGGAACACCGGUGGCGAAGGCGCCCACCUGGCCUGCUACUGACGCUGAAGCUCGAAGGUCAGGGGAGCAAACGGG